rnacentral:hammerhead_ribozyme from 1 species
GCACUGCUGAUGAGUCCCACAAUAGGACGAAACGGCCGUCCAGUUC